UCUCAAGGAACAGCUUGAACUCAGCUUUAAAGAUAGAAGUUUUGCUCUACUCAGUCCAGGAGCAAUUUGUAGCAGAUGUGUAAGAAGACAGAUAGGAUGGACUAUGUCUCCCUCCCAGCUCUUGGUGGCUCUACAAGGACUGAAGGAAAAGAAUUUACACUGGAGGACAAAUUGAAAAUGUGAUGAGACAAGAAAAUGGGAACCUGAGCAUGAAGAGGCACAUAGCAUGUCCAAAGAAUCUACGUGUCAUCCCGAGUGUGGGGACAUAACUGUUGGAAUGUGAGGAAGAUCAUUGGAAGACAGAUCUCAGGGGAAAGACACUAGUGACGCAAAGACAGUCAGGAGUCCAUGACACUCGUCCAGCAUCUCACAUCAGAAGAACAUCCAGUGUGACUGGAGACCAUGACAGAGCCCAAAUGCUGCCAGUGUAGCUGAUCCAAAUGGUUACUCUCCUGUCUGUGUUUCUUGUGGCAAAUUUAAGAGAAGGUGAUAGAGAGGUAAGUCCAAGACAAUGCUCUAUUUUCUUACAGGUAUGAACCAAUAUAAUAAAAUCCUAGAUAACAGCAUAAAAAUGAUUUCAUUCUGUGAUUAGCACAGGGCUGACUUCGAACUGUGAAGUGAAUUAUCUUAAGAAUUGAGUCCUUCAGGGUCACCCGCAACCAUAUGA